CAGGACACGCUACCGUCCGUCCUGCAUUAGCCAGAGUCUGGCACGAGCCACGCCGUCCUGUGCGCUCGUGUGCGAUCAGGAACCUGCGCUCCGAAGUCCGAGCGCAGCGGUGACGUCACAGCCCGGAUUUGCCGGCGACGGUUCCACGAUGCGCGUGCUGAACGCAUGGAGCGAGCGGCUGCUCAUGCAGCCCGCGCCAGAGCACGCAGCUCGGCUUGCGUGGGGAGACAAGGACGACCAAGACGGAACCCCGAUGCUGUUGAUGCGUCAGCUGGCAUAAGCAGGGAACCCGUGGCCACCCUGACGAGACGUGACCCGGGUGCGUUCUCCCUGGCUCACACGGUGGGGGGAGGAGCCCGACUGCACAGCCCAGAAGCAGCCACGAGACAAGGCACAGCACAAGAGCCCUUGACCUGGAAGUGGUUCCUGGCACACCAUGUGAAAGAGCACAAAGGAACAUGGCUGCUUUGGAAGGGGGUACAUUUUCUGAUGUGGUGGUGGUGAUAUUGGAGAAAUGGUUUUGUUUGUUCUUUCAAAGGGUCAAGUCUCGGAUUAAAUCCAGGUUAAUUUAAUUACUAUACAGCAGGUGUCGGGGAUUGAGAUGACUCCACAGAUUAAGGCCUGACCUAGGGCAUGAUGGGACAGAUUAAUGGCCCUGGGUAUGAUGGGAUAGCAGUAUUCCUCCAGUACCUUGCUCUCAUUAGAAGGUGAUCAUGUGACCGCAUUACUAGACACCAUAAGCUGUUAGAAAUGAUCCCUGUAUGAUUUGUAAAUAAACGGUCAUGCAAUAUAACUGGAAUAAACACAGACAUAAGAACAUCUGUCUUUAUAAUCCAGUUUUUUUUUUUAUUACUGAAAUAAAAAGGCACCAAGCCCA